AUACGUAGGGGGCGAGCGUUGUCCGGAAUUACUGGGCGUAAAGAGCUCGUAGGUGGUUUGUCGCGUCGUCUGUGAAAUUCCGGGGCUUAACUCCGGGCGUGCAGGCGAUACGGGCAUAACUUGAGUACUGUAGGGGAGACUGGAAUUCCUGGUGUAGCGGUGAAAUGGGCAGAUAUCAGGAGGAACACCGGUGGCGAAGGCGGGUCUCUGGGCGGUAACUGACGCUGAGGAGCGAAAGCAUGGGUAGCGAACAGGAUUAGAUACCCUGGUAGUCCAUGCCGUAAACGGUGGGCGCUAGGUGUAGGGGUCUUCCACGACUUCUGUGCCGUAGCUAACGCAUUAAGCGCCCCGCCUGGGGAGUACGGCCGCAAGGCUAAAACUCAAAUGAAUUGACGGGG
rnacentral:rRNA from 1 species